rnacentral:sRNA from 1 species
UAAACUUAGGGAUAGUGGCAUUUUGACUC